AGCGAACGCUGGCGGCAGACUUAACACAUGCAAGUCGAGCGGGCACUUCGGUGUCAGCGGCAGACGGGUGAGUAACACGUGGGAACGUACCCUUUGGUUCGGAAUAACGCUGGGAAACUAGCGCUAAUACCGGAUACGCCCUUUUGGGGAAAGGCUUGCUGCCGAAGGAUCGGCCCGCGUCUGAUUAGCUAGUUGGUGGGGUAAUGGCCUACCAAGGCGACGAUCAGUAGCUGGUCUGAGAGGAUGAUCAGCCACACUGGGACUGAGACACGGCCCAGACUCCUACGGGAGGCAGCAGUGGGGAAUAUUGGACAAUGGGCGCAAGCCUGAUCCAGCCAUGCCGCGUGAGUGAUGAAGGCCUUAGGGUUGUAAAGCUCUUUUGUCCGGGACGAUAAUGACGGUACCGGAAGAAUAAGCCCCGGCUAACUUCGUG
rnacentral:rRNA from 1 species